rnacentral:piRNA from 2 species
UGCCUUGCAUCUGACUGACUGAGUGACUGU